AUGAACCCAGCAGUUGUUCGUCUCCUGCGUCUCCACCAAGGAAACCGGGCCAUUGAGGACUAUGUGGAGGACUUUUGUGGUUUGUGUCAUCUGGUGGAUUUUAAUGAUGUGGCCCUUAAUAACAUAUUUCGGGUGGGUCUUAAUGAGCCCACUUGCUCUCAGCUUCCUGGGGGAAAAAUUCACUGGUCCCUGGAGGAAUAUAUUGACCAUGCUCUUUUUCUUGCUGGUUCAUCAUUUACUGUGGGGAUUGCUGAUGAAGAACACAGCUAUCCCACAGUACCCACCACAUCAGAACUUUUCCACGUCCCAACCAUCAUGUCAGGAGUUGUUCAUGUCACGCCAGCCAAGCCAAGGCCUACUCACACCAUGUCUGCCAAGCCACAGCCUGAGACUGUUCCCGUGGCCUCAGUACUUCUAAUAAUGGCAGUUGCCAUUUUGAGUGUGUGGGCAACUCACUGCAUUCCAGAGACUUUUCCUGUCCACGAGCUCUCUGCCUGUCCUGUCACGGCCAAGGAGGCUGUCCACGAGCUCUCUGCCUGUCCUGUCACGACCAGGGAGGCCAUCCACGAGCUCUCUGCCUGUCCUGCCUCGGCCACGGAGGCCAAUCAUGAACUCACUGCCUGUCCUGUCACAGCCAAGUGGUCUGUCUAUGUCUCUGCUUCAUCAUGGCUUCCAGCUCUGCCUGCACUGCCUGGCCACCCUGCUGGGCCUGCACCGCCAUGGCUCCCCGCUAGGACUGCUCCGCCAUGGCGCCAUUUUCUGUCACUGCUCCACGGCCCAGGUCCACCUCUGCUCCAUGGUCUGUCACUGCUUCAUGGCCCAGGUCCCCCUCUGCUUCAUGGUCUGUCUCUGCUCCACGGCCCAGUUCCCCCUCUGUUUCAUGGUCUGUCACUGCUCCAGGGCCCAGGUCCCCCUCUGCUCCAUGGUCUGUCAGGGCUCAAAACUGCAACUAAAACAGUCGCAUUUGCGACCAUAAAUAUUAAUUUGCGAGUGACGUUUUUGCUGAGGUCGCCACUGGCGACUACCCGCCGAAAGCUCCUCAGGAUUUAA
ensembl:lncRNA